CACUGAUAAAAUUUCAAUGAUUUUUAUUAUGUUCCUAAACACAUAUCUUGUAAGAAUUACCACACCUAUCAAAUUCAAAUCGUUAUGAUAUAAUGCAUAUAGCGAUCGCUAAUCUAAAUUAUGUGUGAGGACCACAUAGUAAAAAUCCAUGCAGCCUCACACAUACUUUAAAUAUGGUGGAUGAACUGUGAUGAACAUCAACAAUAUUUUCGCGAGCGCGCGCAGCUGCUUCGGCAACAUCAACCAUUUUGUUAUUGAUUGCUGAUCAAACCGGUAUCCAAGUGGGAAAACCAUUUUAAAACAAAUAAUAUCGUUGGCUAGACAAUUACUGGAGCCAAACAUCCGUAAAUGAUGCCAUCCACGACCGUCCGAGAUUGACCAGUGACGACGACGCCGUACCACCAAAGAUGCCGAAACGGAUUCAUUUCCGGCUUUUUCCUCGCUCCCCGCACAACUCCAAUGCGCAUAUAUUCCGGAUGCUACUUCAAACAUACGGAAAGCUGAAUAGACGCUGCCCAAGGACAUUACCGGAAGUGCGGCCCCUGAGAAAACUGGCUAUCGAAAACAAAAUCGAAAAGGACUACCUCCGUGGAUUCGCUCGUGACAAUUGCUGCUGAUAGACAAAUGUGAACCAAGAAUGACGCCAGAUCGUGUGCAAGACUUCAUAAUUUAUAUAAUAAACUAAAAUGAGAAUAAAUUUUA